CGCACCCAGUUGGAAUUUAACCAACAACCAAUGCUUCAAAGGCAUUUAUUAUAACAUUUAACUAUGGAUGC
rnacentral:tRNA from 1 species